GGUGAACGCUGGCGGCGUGCCUAAUACAUGCAAGUCGAGCGGACUGAUUAGAAGCUUGCUUCUAUGACGUUAGCGGCGGACGGGUGAGUAACACGUGGGCAACCUGCCUGUAAGACUGGGAUAACUUCGGGAAACCGAAGCUAAUACCGGAUAGGAUCAUCUCCUUCAUAGGAGAUGAUUGAAAGAUGGUUUCGGCUAUCACUUACAGAUGGGCCCGCGGUGCAUUAGCUAGUUGGUGAGGUAACGGCUCACCAAGGCAACGAUGCAUAGCCGACCUGAGAGGGUGAUCGGCCACACUGGGACUGAGACACGGCCCAGACUCCUACGGGAGGCAGCAGUAGGGAAUCUUCCGCAAUGGACGAAAGUCUGACGGAGCAACGCCGCGUGAGUGAUGAAGGCUUUCGGGUCGUAAAACUCUGUUGUUAGGGAAGAACAAGUACAAGAGUAACUGCUUGUACCUUGACGGUACCUAACCAGAAAGCCACGGCUAACUACGUGCCAGCCGCCGCCGUAACAC
rnacentral:rRNA from 1 species